GAGAUUGUAUAUUCAGGGGAGUAAGUUUAGGAUGUGAGAGGAGAGGAAUAUGUUUCUAAUCAAACCUAUUUAUGUUUUAGGGACUUAAACGAUGGACAAGGGUUGGAUGAAACUUAGGAAUAAGUUUUUCCUUGAGUAUAGAGAGGGAGUGACCCAAUUUUUAGAAUUUGCCAACUUUCACGUUGAUGCCUACGGAAGUAUAAGGUAUCCAUGCAAGAGAUGUAUGAACUUAAAUUGGAACUCACUAGAGGUUAUUGAACGACUAUUGGAAUAUCCCCCUACUACACAAAAUGAGUGUAUCAUGGAGAGUCAUUAAGCUUUAGAGGUACAGAAAACUUUGAGGAAGAAACUAGUAGUAACCCUUUUGAUAAACAAACUAGUAGUAGGCAGUUUAAGGAAGAAGAUGAUAUAUUUGAUAUGUUGAAUGAUUUACAAGCCCUGAUUGAACAGAAAGAGGAAACAGAGGAAGGUCGUUUGGAAGAUGAAAUGUCGAGGAAUAUUAGGGUAGAUAUAGAUGAAGAUAUAACAAACAUAUUUCUAUGGUGUUUUGGACGAAGUCUUGCACGUUCAAUAUCCGUUGGAAAGAAAUGUCUGGCUAUUUAAGUGUUGAUAGUAUUACACGGACGUCAACAAAAGUCAAAGAACACACAUUGAACUAGGGUACAAAUCGCUUAACACGUCCCGUUUUUGGUUUGCCAAGGAACUUGUAAUUCUUGCGACUUAAGCACAUCAAGUUUUUUACCUAGAUGACCCAAAAAUGGUAACAAUUGGAAAGUUAAGUAAGUCGUCUAGAAUAAGCGUAUAUGGGACGUGUCAGAAGUGGACGAUGUUGAGAAUGAGUACCUGAAUGUACUAAAAAUCAUUGUUAGUCAUCGAGAGGAUGAGCACAUCGAGGAUGCGACUCUGUACAGAAUUGACGUUGAUCCCAUAAUUGUUGAAAGACCGGUUGUGCAUUACAUUACCGACGACUUCAUCGACGAUGUGGGCGAACACUUGGCACAUGCAAGUGGAACAAGCAACGACAAUAAAUUAUAGCACUAUGUUUUCAUUCUCGCUCGCUUUCUUCGAGACGAAUGCCAUGUUCCUUGAGUUUUCAGAGGAUAUAGAUAACCCUGCAGAAGGGUUAUCGUCGAUGGGCAACAAUACGGAUACUUCUCAACCAUCUGCGACUUCGACUCCUAGGUGACGUGCGCAUUCUCGACUCUUAGAGUUGGAGCGCUAUGUUGCAGCCAAUGGACAUAUUUCGAUGACGAUCGCCCCUAGCACGGAGAAGCCUAUUUUUCCAUACGUCGCUCGCUUUAGCCAGGCGAUAGGCAAGUGUGUGCGAAAGACAUUUCCCAUCCGCUGCCUUAAGUGGGCAUAUGUAGGCAGAGAAUACAUCGAUGUCGUCAAGGGUGAUCUCCAAGUAAGUC